rnacentral:rRNA from 1 species
CUGGAAACAGCUUGCUGUUUCGCUGACGAGUGGCGGACGGGUGAGUAAUGUCUGGGAAACUGCCUGAUUGAGGGGGAUAACUACUGGAAACGGUACCUAAUACCGCAUAACGUCCCAAGACCAAAGAGGGGGACCCUCGGGCCUCUUGCCAUCAGAUGUGCCCAGAUGGGAUUAGCUAGUAGGUGGGGUAACGGCUCACCUAGGCGACGAUCCCUAGCUGGUCUGAGAGGAUGACCAGCCACACUGGAACUGAGACACGGUCCAGACUCCUACGGGAGGCAGCAGUGGGGAAUAUUGCACAAUGGGCGCAAGCCUGAUGCAGCCAUGCCGCGUGUAUGAAGAAGGCCUUCGGGUUGUAAAGUACUUUCAGCGGGGAGGAAGGGAGUAAAGUUAAUACCUUUGCUCAUUGACGUUACCCGCAGAAGAAGCACCGGCUAACUCCGUGCCAGCAGCCGCGGUAAUACGGAGGGUGCAAGCGUUAAUCGGAAUUACUGGGCGUAAAGCGCACGCAGGCGGUUUGUUAAGUCAGAUGUGAAAUCCCCGGGCUCAACCUGGGAACUGCAUCUGAUACUGGCAAGCUUGAGUCUCGUAGAGGGGGGUAGAAUUCCAGGUGUAUCGGUGAAAUGCGUAAAGAUCUGGAGGAAUACCGGUGGCGAAGGCGG